rnacentral:rRNA from 1 species
UACGUAGGUGGCAAGCGUUGUCCGGAUUUACUGGGCGUAAAGCGAACGCAGGCGGACUGUUAAGUAGGAAGUGAAAGGUUGGAGCUCAACUCUAACACUGCUCCCUAUACUGGCGGUCUUGAGUGGCGGAGAGGGAGAUGGAACGACACGUGUAGCGGUGAAAUGCGUUGAUAUGUGUCGGAACACCAAUGGCGAAAGCAAUCUCCUGGACGCAAACUGACGCUGAGGUUCGAAAGCCAAGGUAGCAAACAGG